UAAAGGUGGUUGUCAGCCACCAUGUAGUUGCUGAUAUUUGAACUCCGGACCUCUAGAAGAGCUCUUACCUCCUGAGUC
rnacentral:miRNA from 1 species